GAAGGAAAAAGAUGGAUCAGCGAGCGGCGAACGGGAAAUUUCAAAUGAUGGAUGCCAGGUACAUCAAUCCAGGAGAAGAAACGGCGAAGCUGGGCUUGGGCGGAAGAGGCUGGAAAAGAUGGAAAGCCUCGUGGAGCCAGGUGCUUGUUUUCGUGUGUCGUGUGCCGGAAAGCUUAUAAAUUGCAGCAGUGGGAAAAAGUUCGGUAAAGUUAGAAAGAUAAGAUCCUCAGAACUCAAUGUGACAAACAUGGUUAAAUAAAGGUUAAAUAAUUUUUUUUAAAAUAAGUUAUUUGCAGAUUCGGACUUCCGGGAUCAAUAAUUCUGAGACGAAACGUUGUCUAAACACAAAUGAUGCCUCUUUCAUGUCGUAAUAGCAUAGACUACAAGCUACAAGAAUCAAAAACCGAUUUGUUUUAUAAAAACAAGCCGUUCUUCGAGCUGGUUGAAUAAUGCUGAUCUCUAUGCGCAGCCGGUAGCUCGGCGAGUGCGCAGGGAUCGUCUGCAAGUUACGAUACAAGAGCGAGACGCUGCAAACGAAAAUCAAUAGCUCCACUAUUUUACAGUACAGAGGCUCCAAAAUCACCCCACACACCAAGGGACUCUUAAUACUACAACAGUUGUUUUAGGAAAAAUGUGUCUUUUUAUGAUUUUGGUAAAUUUUAUUUUAUUUUUACUGUCAUAUAGUGUGUGCCCCCCACCCCAUUAAAAACUUUUCAGGCACAGGAUUUUUUCUGCCUCAAGCCCCGUUAAAUGUUUAACAUGUAAUGGGCUGAGCAUGUGCUAGAAACAACAGAAAUACAAAUGCAGCAUUGAAGCGUUAAUUCAAGGUUUUUUACACUUUUUUAUUGUCAAUUUCUGCCAUAUGUGAGUACACAUAUAGGAAAUGAAUGAGACAUUUAUCUCCAACACACAGUGCUAAAGUGUCUAGUAGAUAUUAAAAGACACACACAAAAAAAAAAAAGAACUAGAGGAGAAUAAUACAGUGGAUGAAACAGUGAUGUUUCUGUAUUCUUAAAAAAAAUGAUCUGUUACACAAGAAAACAAUUUUAGAGAGACUAUAUUUAAGCACAGAUCCAUGUGAUCAUUGUGACAAUUAGACCUUCCCCUUCAAGGACAGUUUCCCAGACCUGUGGAGGUAGAGGAGUGGCUGAAUGAACCCAGUUAUAGAUGCCAAGUUUAUAAAAAUUGUGAAGAUAUGAUCAAACUGUUUUUCAUUGAGACAACAUUGCAGAGGAAUUACAACCAAGUACAAAACAAAAUUAGUGGUCAUGCAAACCAUAACCAGUGAGAUAAUGUUAAAGGCCUUUCUUUUCAUUGUAUUGCUCUUCUCCUUCCCUCUUUCCUUGUCUCCUGGACCGGGGCGUUUCAGACCCCUGAGAACGGAGAGGCAGCAGAAAAGCAUCACAGAGACUAACCCCACACUUUGUAUGAAAUAUGCAUACAAAUACAAAUUAUAUAGGAAAGUGAGGAGGCGGUAAGUGCAAGAAAGGAGGAUAAUCAGCCAGUUUACACAACAACAGGCCAGCCUGUAUCUCAAGGGUUUCAUUCGCAGAAAUGUCACAGGGUGGACAACCCCUGCGUAGCAUUCGAUGCAGAUGCAGCAUUGAAAGAGAGGGCGAGCUGUAAAGACAAGCCCAAGGGAAAACAUAUAGGCCUGCAUACUUAAAAUUGAUUGCAGUUGUUGAAAGAGCAGACUCCAGACACCAGAUAGAGAGAAAAAAGUCUCAGAUAUAGCCAGGUUGAGAUAAAAGAAAUCUGAGGCUAUAGACUCUUUGGAGCCUCUCAGAAUCAGCCAUAUGACAUAAGUGUUAAAAGGAAAACUGACCAUCAGUUCGAUUACCGCUAUAGCUAAUAAAAAACUGUAUUCCCCUGGAGAAGACUGGAUUGAAGAUGCAUUGGUGAUGUUCAUUUUGUGACUGUAAAGAAGAAGAAAAUACAGGAUUAGAAGAUUAGACAUGGAGUAUACAGUGAUAUUAUCCAUUCAACUCUUUUGGCUAAACCUUCAUUCAUGUUUAAAAAGGCCAAAAACAUACAACAAUCACCUUGGUGCCAAUGAGCAGGAACACAAAACAAAAAAAAUCCCACAGAUUGAAAGUUACACUGUCUUUAAUUCAAAGAUGAUCUUCUUGAGUUCUGGUCAUGCAGCAUUUGAGGACAGAUUUGAAGUGAUCCAUAUUAGACUCUGCAGUCUCUUAUUGCUCAGUGCACUGUUGGCAUAAGCAAAUACAAAAAUAACAAUCAGUUAUUGAUUAUGACACAUGGAAAUUUACGUCUUCGUCACACUCCUGCCUUCAGUGAGUGUGGACUUUUUUUUUUUUGGUGUGUUUGUGUUGAAUUUGAAUUUGUUUUGUCUUGUAUUUAUUGCUCCUCAUAUUGUUUUCCUAGCGAUCAGAGCUACUCACCUGUGUGUUUCUAAGCUAUCGUGCUGCUAAGUACACUGCUGAGGCACUUGAUGAUCAGCUGGUAAUUUAAGUUUAGAGCCAAUAGCAGGUUGCUCGUUUGUCUACCUAAACAGAGAAGUUUAUUCUGUCUCCUCAUUUUGAUGAAACAUUAAACACUCCUGGAGACCAGUGUGUUGCAUGACCUCCUCCACUGACAACACUCCGUAAAUGUUUCAUAACUGAAGGGCCAGUUUCUGAAGUUGCUGUCCAAUUCUAGCCAAAUAUUGGACUUCAGGUCCUCAAUAUUAUAAAGUCUAUUAGUGACGUGUUUCAUGUGUCCUGCUGUAUGUAAGUUGUUGUGGUGGCGGUUCAGCAGUUACAAAAAGAAAAAUUAAAUUAGCUUUCUCCGAGGUACACUUGAACACAACACUCCCCUAUCUCCCUCUGUUGCUCCUGCCUAGUUCCUGCUACAGUUGGUGAGUCUCACUCACUUCUCAUUGCUGCCAGCCUAACGCUGUGCUGCUGACUCCUCAACUGACCUAAGAAGCAAACAAAUCACUUGAGGAAGUGAUUCUGUUCAGUACGUUCACUUAAUAGAUUUGUUCUUUUGAGUGAAUCUUUCGCGAACAACACAACACAACAUUCAUAUCAUCCUGCAUAGGUUCAUGCAACUUCUUACACUUUUGUGUUGCUCAGCCUGGUUUGUAUUGUUUUCAAUGCAGCACAUACUCGCAUAUUACUUACUGCUCAUAAAUUCACAUCAUAGUUUGCAACAGAUGUAAAUUUGCAUGUGCCUCCACAGCUGGGCUUCUUCUCUGUUACGUGACAAUAUGUAAAGCAGUGUUGUUGUUUCCCAUCAUUUCUCUUGCAAAUUAUGUGAGUUGAGGUCAGCUGUAAAUAUAGUAAAGAAAAACAAAUGCAAAAGACAACACAUCCAGGUCAAAAGGUUUUAAUGUGGAAUAAAAUGAAUAUUUUCAUGUAUGAUCACCAGCUUGUCUUAAAAGUGAUUUAUUCUUUGGUAGUUAUAAAGGGUGAAACUCUCCACACCAUCAGUCAAAAUGUCUAUUCAAGUGAUUUAUGCUAAGUGUAUGUAACAAAAGUGUCUCUAUCCUGAUCCUGAAACUAAAGUCCAUCAGAAGAGGUAAGGACUUUCAUCCUACAGGUGGGAGAAUUUUCAUUUUUAUACAACAUUUAUUGGUGCAACAAGAUAUUAACUAGUUUAAAUGGUAAAGAAAGUCUGUUAGCAUCCAUCUUCAUGUCAGUACAACAAUUGUUUUAGAUUAAAAACCUGCUAUUUUAUUGUUGUAACCAUUGAAAUGUAGCCUCAUAAUCAGUAUUUGUGAGUCAUGCCAUUUAAUCAGUUUUUACAGUCUUUGCGCAAGGGGAGACCGGGGAAUGGUUGUAACUCUUGUUGCUUCAGCAUUGGUAAUUCACUGAGUCUUUAAGGAAGAAUUUUCAAACUUUUACACAAAGUUCCCACAGCUUCCAAAGAAAGUAACAGUAUAAGAACAGAAAGAAAUAUAGUCUUGAUUCAAGUAUUUUUUCUCAUAUCUGAAUUUUUUUUUUCUAGAUGCAGCCUCCAAAAUGACCACAGGAAAUUGAGUAGGGAGCGAGUAACCUCUGAAAAGACCAUUCGACUCCUGUGUCAUCCCUGAUUGGUGAAAAUUGUGGUGUUUUAACUCUCCCUGUGUUACAACCAUACCCAGUCUCCUGCACAGCACAUGCACACUCAACAAAAGCUUGUUCAGCGAGCAGCACAGUGUUGAUUAAGUUUGUUUGUUGCAGGUCAAAAUGGAAAAGGAACCCAUGAACCAUACAGCCAUAACAGCGCUGCAGAAAUCCCCUAAUGGAAAGACCUUGCACA
rnacentral:lncRNA from 1 species